rnacentral:tRNA from 1 species
GCGGCCGUGGUCUAGACUGGUUAGGAUGGAGGCCCUCCAAGCCUCUGGUCGCGGGUUCAAAUCCCGCCGGCCGCA